rnacentral:rRNA from 1 species
GCAGUGAGGAAUAUUGGGCAAUGGACGCAAGUCUGACCCAGCAACGCCGCGUGAGUGAAGAAGGCCUUCGGGUCGUAAAGCUCUGUCGGGUGGAAAGAAGUGCAGCGGGGUUAACAGCUCUGCUGCUUGACGGUACCACCAGAGGAAGCACCGGCUAACUCCGUGCCAGCAGCCGCGGUAAUACGGGGGGUGCAAGCGUUGUUCGGAAUUAUUGGGCGUAAAGAGCGUGUAGGCGGCCGGACAAGUCAGAUGUGAAAGCCCUGGGCUUAACCCAGGAAGGGCAUUUGAAACUGUUCGGCUGGAGUAGGGAAGGGGAAAGUGGAAUUCCUGGUGUAGAGGUGAAAUUCGUAGAUAUCAGGAGGAACACCGGCGGCGAAGGCGACUUUCUGGUCCCAUACUGACGCUGAGACGCGAGAGCGUGGGUAGCAAACAGGAUUAGAUACCCCAGUAGUCC